CCUACGGGGGGCAGCAGUGGGGAAUAUUGGGCAAUGGGCGCAAGCCUGACGCAGCAACGCCGCGUGAAGGAAGAAGGCUUUCGGGUUGUAAACUUCUUUUCUCAGGGACGAAGCAAGUGACGGUACCUGAGGAAUAAGCUACGGCUAACUACGUGCCAGCAGCCGCGGUAAUACGUAGGUGGCAACGGUUAUCCGGAUUUACUGGGUGUAAAGGGCGGGUAGGCGGGGACGCAAGUGAGAUGUGAAAACCACGGGCUCAACCUGUGGACUGCAUUUGAAACUGUGUUGCUUGAGUACUGGAGAGGCAGACGGAAUUCCUAGUGUAGCGGUGAAAUGCGUAGAGAUGAGGAGGAACACCAGAGGCGAAGGCAGUCUGCUGGACAGCUACUGACGCUGAGGCGCGAAAGCGUGGGGAGCAAACAGGAUUAGAUACCCGAGUAGUC
rnacentral:rRNA from 1 species